AUGGGUGUGGGGACACCUCGGCGUGGCCAGGAGGGGGUCCCCGUGUGCCCCUCGCCGUGUGGCACGCGUGCUCGGUGUGCGCGUGCAGCCCCGUGUGUCGGUGCACACAGUGGGCACGCGCGUGGCCCCAUGGGUUUGGCACAGGACCAUGUUUGUCCUCGUCAUCGUCAUCGUCAUCUCCAUCAUCUUCCUCAUCAUGAUCUUCCACAUCUGCCGCAAGCUCUGCCGCGACGAGCCCCUGCGCCCCCCGCCCUACAUGGACCCCCAGUCCCCCGCCUCCCCACAGCUUGGCCCCAUGCCCGCGCUGCCCAGCCUGCCCGGGGGGGGCAUCCCGGUGGGCCUGGAGCCCCCGCCCUACAGCGAGGUAACGGCGAAGCCCUUCCUCUACCCACUGCCGCAGGGGCCGUGCCCCGAGUGCGGCCACAACCCCGAGCCUCAGCGCGCCCCCCCCCCCCAGACCAACUUCUAGGGGGGGGGGGACACCCCCAGCACCCCCACAGUGACCGGCGGCUCCAGGGACAGCUUGGGGACACCCCCUGGGGCCAGCAGCGGCCCUGGAUGGAGAGGGGCUCCUUGCACCCCUCACCGGGGGGGCACCCCGAUGCUUGCGCCUGUGCCCCCCCCCCAGGUGCCUGCGGCCACGCUCCCCAAAGCUGUGCUGCUGGUGCACAGCGGCGGGGCUCUCUAUUUAUUGUUGGAAAAGAACCCAAAGCCCUCCCUGCUCUGCUGUUUUGGGGGAGGGUCUGGAGAGGGGGCCUUUGGGGUGGGCAGCUCUGAAGCCCCCAUAGGGCCAGAGGGACUUGUGGGGCUGGGAGGCACAGGAGUGUGCGUCAGAUGGGGCUCUGCCAGCCUGUCCCCAUCCCAUCCCAUUGUGCCCAUCCCAUCCCCAUCCCAUCCCCAUCCCC
ensembl:lncRNA